rnacentral:rRNA from 1 species
UGGGGAAUAUUGGACAAUGGGCGCAAGCCUGAUCCAGCCAUGCCGCGUGAGUGACGAAGGCCUUAGGGUUGUAAAGCUCUUUCGUCGGGGACGAUAAUGACGGUACCCGAAGAAGAAGCUCCGGCUAACUUCGUGCCAGCAGCCGCGGUAAUACGAAGGGAGCUAGCGUUGUUCGGAAUCACUGGGCGUAAAGCGCACGUAGGCGGAUAGUUAAGUCAGGGGUGAAAUCCUGGGGCUCAACCCCAGAACUGCCUUUGAUACUGGCUGUCUCGAGGUCGAGAGAGGUUGGUGGAAUUCCUAGUGUAGAGGUGAAAUUCGUAGAUAUUAGGAAGAACACCAGUGGCGAAGGCGGCCAACUGGCUCGAUACUGACGCUGAGGUGCGAAAGCGUGGGGAGCAAACAGGAUUAGAUACCCGAGUAGUCCCUGAGCGGGCUGGCAAGGCGCAU